AAACUAACAAGGAUUCCCCUAGUAACGGCGAGCGAAGCGGGAAGAGCUCAAAUUUGAAAUCUGGUGGCCUCAGGUCAUCCGAGUUGUAAUCUAUAGAAGUGUUUUCCGUGCUGGCCCAUGUACAAGUCCCUUGGAACAGGGCGUCAUAGAGGGUGAGAAUCCCGUCCUUGACAUGGACUACCAGUGCUCUGUGAUACACUUUCAACGAGUCGAGUUGUUUGGGAAUGCAGCUCAAAAUGGGUGGUAAAUUCCAUCUAAAGCUAAAUAUUGGCGAGAGACCGAUAGCGAACAAGUACCGUGAGGGAAAGAUGAAAAGCACUUUGGAAAGAGAGUUAAACAGUAUGUGAAAUUGUUGAAAGGGAAACGAUUGAAGUCAGUCGUGCUCAAUGGACUCAGCCGUUCUGCGGUGUAUUUCCAUUGGGUGGGGUCAACAUCAGUUUUGAUCGCUGGAUAAAGGCAGGAGGAAUGUAGCACCCCCGGGUGAACUUAUAGCCUCUUGUCACAUACAGUGGUUGGGACUGAGGAACGCAGCAUGCCUUUAUGGCCGGGAUUCGUCCACGUACAUGC
rnacentral:rRNA from 1 species